CUAAGAAUCUUCCGCAAUGGGGGGAACCCUGACGGAGCGACGCCGCGUGAACGAGGAAGGCCGAAAGGUUGUAAAGUUCUUUUCUUGGGGAAGAAUAAGGGGAAGAGGGAAUGCUUCUCUGAUGACGGUAACCGAGGAAAAAGCCCCGGCCAAUUACGUGCCAGCAGCCGCGGUAACACGUAAGGGGCGAGCGUUGUUCGGAAUUAUUGGGCGUAAAGGGCGUGUAGGCGGUUUUGUAAGCCUGGUGUAAAAGGCGUACGCUUAACGUACGUAGGUCGCUGGGGACUGCGAGACUAGAGUGUAGGAAGGGGAGCUGGAAGUCCAGGUGUAGGGGUGAAAUCUGUAGAUAUCUGGAAGAACACCGAUGGCGAAGGCAAGCUUCUAGCCAUACACUGACGCUGAGGCGCGAAAGCGUGGGGAGCGAACA
rnacentral:rRNA from 1 species